GCAGAUCUAAAGUCAAAAACUAAGAAGAAGGGGCUUAGAAUCCGCCUAGCUGCCAAUGGCACAGGCGGUGGGCCACAUGAUGGUCAGUCGCUGUCGGCACUUGAUCUCAGAGUGCUGGCUAUCAUGGGCCUACUGGCUGUCCAAGGCCAAGAGGCUGUCCAAGAGCUGGGUUUUACCAACAUUAAUCUCAUUGAAAGACCUGUAGACAUCCAGGCAGAGCCAGCCAACAUAGAGCAAAUUUUUGUAAAUGAAUACUCCCACCACCAUCACCACAAUCACCACAGAUGAUGUCGACGGAAGACAUACAAUAUAAUAUAAUAGAGCCAACUAAUCCAAGACCAUCUACAUCCACGGGGAGGCCCGCCGAUGUAGGCGGUCCUAGAUUAGUACCAUCAGCACCUGCGGAAAUAACAUAUACUUCCCGUCAUUUGUCUUUGUAAAAAGCAGAAUAUAAACCUAGU